rnacentral:lncRNA from 1 species
UUUGUCGUAAAUCUCUAAAAGGAAAGCCCUUGUGGCAAGUAUUGAAAGAAAGGAUGCCUCUGUGGAAAACCUUUGAAAGGAAACGCCAUUGUGGCAUCUAUCCAAGAGAACGCCCCUUUAGUGAAUAAUGAAUGAAAGGAAAUGAGUUUUUUCGAACAAGGGAGGAACAACAUGUAAGGUUUUCUGAAGACAUGGUAAAUGAAACAAACUCUG